rnacentral:tRNA from 1 species
CCCUGGUUAGCUCAGUUGGCAGAGCGCUCCACCUGUAAUGGAGAGGUCCCGGGUUCGAUACCCGGACCAGGCG